GGAGGGCAGCAGAAGGGCUGGUUGGUGAUGUAAUCACACACGAAGACAUAAGCCCAAUAUAUGCUCCUUGCAAUGGAUCCGGCUCUUUUGUACAGCGGUAUCGGAGCUAUGCUUUAGCGUGAGAGGUACCGGGUUUGUGCACGCUCUCCAUCUGUGUGUGGAUUGUCUUGUCCUGUGUGAUGCGCCUCCCUGCAAGUUUUUCUACAAUAUGUCCCAAGGGCCACAUUUGCAUGAUUUAGGUGGGGGUAAUCGAUUUUCCACCAGUUGCAGCCAGCAUGAACGUUCGGUACCUCUCUGCUGUCAAAAGAACAGUGGAACAAAAAGAAACCCAUUUCAAGAAAUCUUAAACAUUCCUUUCAAAAACCACCUUCUCAAAAUAAUUGAUGUUUAUUUAACUGGUAAAGGCCUUUAUACAAAUACAUUAUUAAUUCCCUCAACUUUUAUAAGUCAAAGCCUAAAUAAUCUGGAUUGUGAGGAUUCUGAAUUGCUACCCAAGCCUCCAAAAGUUGAAAGAAAUUAGUGGUGUUUCAAUGAAAUUCUUAUUUCAAUGAAUUCAUCACAUUGGAUGUUGAUUUUAAUCAAUAUGG